UAGUGGUCUGCCGUAAGGCAAAUGCAAAACAAGAUGAGCGUGUAAUCACAAACAAAAGAAUAUAUUUAAAUAUGUUAAGAGCAUACAAGUGAUGUCACUCUGCCAUCAGCCAACGCAUUUGGGUGCAUGUUUAUAAAAAAGGACCUAUUACGCAGCCCUUCGGAACGUGCCUAUCAAUUGUUAACUAGAAUUCAUUCACAUUCUUGGCAAUACAGCUCAGACUUAUUGUAGGGCCGAAAUUCUCUUUCGAAUAAGUGAUUUCAUUGUGGGAUGAUGGAUGAGGGCAGACUUCAUAUCAUCUGCAGAUAUAUGCACUUUGUUUUGGACUACCCUGGUAACUUGAUGUCACGGCUACAACGCCCACACCCGUCUUCCUAUCGUCUGCAAAACAACCGGAUUUGCACUUGGCUGCAUGUCCUGCGUGCGCCCCCACGCCUCACAGCAGGCUCCUUUUACGGCAUUCUGCUUACAGGACAAAGUCCCUUUGGUUUCAGGAAUGGACUGACGCCCAGCCCAACGUGGCUACACUAAAGGACAAAGAAAAACUGUGAAAAUGGGACCAAGAGAAAAUGCAACAAGCCCGUUUCCAGAGGAAAACGCCAAGGCAGACUUACCCGACAUGCUGGCUGGGUGGAGGAAAAGGCUCCUGGAACAACUCCUAUGAGAUUCUCCAACGUCCCUUUUCUGCUUCAUUAAAUGGCCAAGAACCAAUAUCUUGCAAAAAUUGAAAAAGAUCGCACCACAAAAGUGUCAAAACAGCGUGAGAGCAUGCAACAAUAGUGUUAUAUACCUGGGGAUAUAUUAGUUUGUGAUUUUCUCCCUCCAUGCCUACUAUUUAAAACCCCUAGAACUCAAUGAUUUGACAAUGAUUUGAUUGCGCGUUACUUUCAAUUUGAAUAUUCAGAGGCAACUCAAAAAUAUCGAUUUUUCACUGCAAUUCAUCAUUUAUACACACUAAAUAAGUCCCACUUUAAUAGAUUAUAAUAGUAUUUUAUAUUUAAAAGAAAAUAAAGUGAUGUUUUAUACAUUUAA